rnacentral:rRNA from 1 species
AUUGAACGCUGGCGGCAGGCCUAACACAUGCAAGUCGAACGGUAACAGGAAGCAGCUUGCUGCUUUGCUGACGAGUGGCGGACGGGUGAGUAAUGUCUGGGAAACUGCCUGAUGGAGGGGGAUAACUACUGGAAACGGUAGCUAAUACCGCAUAACGUCGCAAGACCAAAGAGGGGGACCUUCGGGCCUCUUGCCAUCGGAUGUGCCCAGAUGGGAUUAGCUAGUAGGUGGGGUAACGGCUCACCUAGGCGACGAUCCCUAGCUGGUCUGAGAGGAUGACCAGCCACACUGGAACUGAGACACGGUCCAGACUCCUACGGGAGGCAGCAGUGGGGAAUAUUGCACAAUGGGCGCAAGCCCGAUGCAGCCAUGCCGCGUGUAUGAAGAAGGCCUUCGGGUUGUAAAGUACUUUCAGCGGGGAGGAAGGGAGUAAAGUUAAUACCUUUGCUCAUUGACGUUACCCGCAGAAGAAGCACCGGCUAACUCCGUG